rnacentral:lncRNA from 1 species
AUGUAUUACCAAAACGAAAAAAACUAUCACCAUCAACAUGAAAAGGUAUAUAUGCAAGAUGAUGAACAGGAACAGAAUUUUGUUAGGUAUGAUAAUAAUACUACUGACGGUAGUAAUAAUAACAAUAUGCAAAAAAUAAGAAAACAAACAAAUAACAUACCAGAUUAUUAUACAGUAGAAAAAAUAUAUUAUCCAUACCAUCAAAAUAUACCUGGACAAUAUGUUAAAAAAGAGUACAAUGAUUAUGAUAAAAAUAACCAUUUGAAUGAAAUCAAUGAUAUGUAUCUUGUAAAUAAAAGUAAUAAUCAGUAUGAAAAUGUAGUUAUCUAUCACAAGAAUAAUCAAGCAAAUUAUAUUCAAAAUAAAAACGAAAAUUGUAUUAUAAAUAGUAAUGAAAAUCAAAACAAUACAUGCAACAAGUUUAGAUAUAACAGCGAGAGUAAAAAUAGUUACAAUGACCGUGUUACCUACGAUAAUGACAAUACUAAAUAUUGUAAAGAUUAUGAUUAUGAAUAUGAUUCAACUAUAUAUCAACAAAAACUAAAAAACGAAAACAUAAAAAAUGACUAUAAGUAUGAUAAACAAGAAAAAAAUAAUAAUAAAGAAAUGAAAAAACCUACAUUACGGUUUACUCAAAAUUCAAGCUUAAAUCAAUUUAAAGAAAACUUUAAUUAUAAUAAAAGCAAUUAUGAUAAUAAAAGAUACUAUAAUAAACAACUAAAUAGCUAUAAAGACUUGCACAUAAAUAAUAUUGUUAUUGCUUCGAAAAUACUAAAUAACCUAUUGUUAAAUAAAACAAAUCAUUACUUUUUAAUCCUUAAAGAAUAUUUAUUUGUAAGUAAUACAAAACCAAUUUAUACAAAAUACACUCCCAAAAAUGAAAACAGUAAUAAUAGAUUUAUGAAUAAGAUCAUAAAUCCUUUAUUUAAAAACAGAAAGCAACACUAUUAUCAAUCACAAGAUGCAUCAACAUAUCAAGUAUAUGAAUCAAAUAACGAAGAAAUAGUGAAUUAUCAACAAAACAACAUAUGUAUUAAUACACAUAAUAUCAAACAAACAGAAUUUAAACAGGAACAUGUGAAUAAACAUAAUUUUAUUAAAAGAUACAACAAUGAUGAAUGUAUCAUAACAAAUGAAAACAAUUAUGUUCACCAUGUUGAUAAUAAUUAUGAUACAUAUAAUGUUUAUAAUGACGAUAAUACUUAUAACAACAAAAAUUUGUAUGAUACCCAAUUUGAUAAUGUAAAAAAACAAAUGCACAAAUAUAGUAAAUUGCUUAAUUACUUUUCAAAAAAAAAAAUUUUAGGUAACACUCUAAUUGAUAGUUUUAAUAAUGUAGAUGUAAAUGAUCAAAGGAGAAAAAAAAAAUAUAUAUAUUUUUUUUUUCAAAAACGACUUUGCUGCUUUUUUUUUUUUUUUUUUUUUUUUUACUUGUUCAUGAACGAAAGAUAGUGCUAUUUUUUUUUUUUCUUUUCUUUUUUGGUUCAAUAACAAUAUUUUUUUUAUUUUUUUUUCUGGUAAUUUUUUUUUUAUACCUUUGCUUUUUAUUGUUUUUAGUGUUUUGUUUAUUUUUUUGUAUAUAUUUAUAUAUUGUAUGAGCAUGUGUUUUUAUAUUCUUCAAUACAAAAGAACUGGAAAAAAGAAAAUCAAAAUAAACCAUAAACUAUAUUUACGAGAACA